rnacentral:lncRNA from 1 species
GAAUGAUAUAAUAUUGCAGUUUUACACUUUGGAGUCAUUAUUUGACAUAUAGUAAAGCAGGUGUUAUGUAGGUACGGUGUGAUGGAAAGUAUAGAAACCCACUGUCCUGUACAAGGUGUGGGUUAAAGUGGCAUGUGUGUAUUUGUACAGCUGGUGUCUGAAUUAUUCGUAGACCGGAGAAAAGCUCCCCUGAAAACCACAGCUGUGAUUCUGUAAGUGUAAUACUACUAAUAGUAAGUACUUCUGGGAACAUCUCUUUGCAUCCUUUAAACAUUAGUUUAAAACAAAAAAAGGAUCUGAAUGUUUUUGGAUGCAAUCAUCUACCACGUGGCUUUGUACUGUUGUGUUUGUGAGCUUAAUAAAUAACUAAGAGUGAAACAAACUUUCUCAUUUUUAUCCAUUUAGGUUCCCUUUAUUUGAGUUUGAAAAAUGAAAAUCAGGGAUUUUAUGAGAAACAGACUCCAAAUCAGUACUGCAUGUCCUAUUUUAUUAAACUUAUAUUCUUCUUUAUAUUAUAUUCUUCUUUUUCUAGGUGAGGUUUUUUUAUUUUGUUGUAUUUAGCAGGUGUUGAGAAAAAACUCCUCUGGAAUUGUGUAAAAGUAAAAGUUUAAACAUUUUAACAUUUAAAAUGUUAAAAUGUUCAAUGUUCACCUUAAAAAAGGUGAACAUUGAACAUUUUAACAUUUUAAGGCCAAAUAUAGGGUAACGUGCUUGUCCAUCCCAUAAUAUCACCGAUGAGAGCGGGAUUUGUUUUGUUUCAACCGGACGCGGAUUGGCCCAUCUAUACACCCAUACAUGUAUGUACCUUGCUUACAUAAACACCACAGAAGAAGACGUAUCCUAAAGAACCCAUUUUAAUAAUGUGGACUGGAGCGACCAUGAACCGUUCCCCGCCAGUCCUCAUCACUCAUCCCGCAGUUUCCUCCCGCACAUUCUGCAGAAGACGCUCCAUGGGCCAUGGAUGUGUACUAUAUGGUGUACGUUGUAUUAUCUUUAGUUCUAGAAGUCUCUUCCUCUGUAUUUCUUUCUCCCUGCCAACCCAUCCAACCCCGAGGCUGACAUAACUAGUUUUCAUAAUGGACCUCAAGAGGCUCCCACUUGGAGGAGCCUUGGUAAUGUCACCGUCACAUUGUUUAUUUUUGGGCCUUGAGAUCAAGGGCAUGGGGGGCUUGGUGUUGGAGGGGCGCUCUCACCUUCACAUUUCACAAGCACUAAUUGCCCUAUGAAUUAUUAACCUUAAUGGAACGAUGAUGACAGGUUGCCUUGUCUUUUGCGUUCUAAGAUCUUAAUAAACUCCUUAAAAAAAGUAAGCA